rnacentral:lncRNA from 1 species
GAAUAGACUUUUAUGGAGGCGAUGCUUUUGGCGAUUUAGGGUUUCAUGAUUUCAAGAAGAUGGGAUCCGGGAAUUAGAGAUGGGGAUUGGGUUUUUCCGAUCUUUCAUGAUCAAUUCACGGAUUGUGGUUUUCAAGGUCUGCGUUUGGAUAGUUUGGGGACCGUUAUGGGAAUAGCGAAGGAGUUCUGUGAGAUCUUAUGGAUACUGCAGAUUUGGGGACAAAGGCGAGGGAUUUCAGAGGCUAUCAAGGUGGAUUGCAAUAUCUCUACAGGUUGUAAUCUAGAUUAUGAUUAUUUAAUUUUCCACUUUCAUCUAGUAGCGAUUGAUUUGCUUUACCUUAUGGAGGAUUGGGGGUCGUCGUAUCUUUCGGGAUUGAGAUCAGAGACUAUCAAAUUAAGGAGAUACGGGUUAAUUGUGGGAUAUUUGGUAUGGGAAUUUUUGGAAAACUGGGGUCAAUAUAAGAAAAAGUUUAUUGAGUCUCUUUGGCACAUCAUUGCUUUUUCAUUUUGCCAUUAUAUGCUUCAAUCGUGCUUCUUCUUUGUGAUACUCAUGACGCAGAGUCAGAUGUUGAAUCACGGUGAGGAGCUGAGGAACGGUGCAGGCAUGCGUAAGAGAUUGAAGAUUUCAGUGGCGCACUUCGACAAUUCUGCGCUGAUCAAAACCUAUUCCAAGACAUUGAUCGGGAGAUGUAUGAAUCCAGUGGAGCAGGAGAUGAAUGCGCUUUUCACAAAUCUCCCAAAGAUUUGGAAACAGGAAGAGAGGGUAACGGGUACUGAUCUGGGCUUUGGUAAAUUUCAGUUCGACUUCACGACGAAGGAGGAACUUGAAGCGGUGUUGAAGCAACAGCCUUACCAUUUUGACUACUGGAUGCUGGCUUUGGCAAGGUGGCAACCAAAACAAUCCAAGCUUUUUCCCUCAGAGAUCAUGUUCUGGAUAAGAGUCUUGGGGGUUCCUCUGGAGUUCAGGACGGUCCCGACCUUCGAGAGUAUUGGUGGAGCCUUGGGGAGAGUUGUUGCGGUUGAUGUGAAGCAUAACCGGGUUCAAGUAGUGAUUGACGCUUUUAAGGAGUUAUGCUUCGAGACGACGGUGGAUUUCAAAGGAGGAGAAUUUUAUGAGGAAGAGGAGGUGGCGGUGUCUCUGAGGUAUGAGAAAUUAUUUGGGUAUUGCAAGCUCUGUGCCAGUCUUUGCCACAAGGAUGAGCUAUGUCCGUUGAAUGAGAAGAAACCUAAGCCGAGUCCUGAACGAAGGAGGGAGAUCAGAGAAGGCAAUGGGCAUGGUCUGAUGGGGCUAAGCAUGAAGGAGGCGCUCGUAGCUAUAAAGGUGUUGUUAUCAAUGGUCAAACAACUCAACAGAAUAAAAAGCGAGAUGUUCGGGAGUAUUAUGGGAAGGGGAAGGGGAAGGCAUCUGAUGCAGGUGGAUCCAAGUGGGUUAAGGUUGAUGAGAGGGGGAUCUAGAGUGGCUCCUUCUCACCACGGUAAUUACAGAGGUGGUGGCGAGGGUUCACGGUUCAGAACCUCCAGAAGAGACGAGGGAAGCAGCGGAGCUAAGGGUGAGGGAGCUGGGGUUCACGAGGCACGUAGUAGGCCUUCUAUGGAACAGCUGAGAGAUGAACAAAGACAGCAGAACAUAGGUCAGGAGGUACGUGAAGAAGGAGAGAUUAAGGGCACUGAUGCGGUAGAUGCCACUACAGCUACUGAAGAGUUUCAACUCGAACUAGCUAAGACGCAGGCAGAGGGCUCAGAAGCGAUUAUGGAGGCUACAAAGGAGGAGAUGGGGUUACUCCAGUUACAGGGAAUGAAGGAGAACCAAGAUGAUAUGGAAUUAGAGGCUAUUGAUAUGGAACUAGAGGCUAUCAAUGCUUCUUUAUUGGAGAGAGGGGUGGAGUUGACAACAGAAGAGGAGUUCCAGACUCUCUCGGAGGAGGAAGCGGAGAAAGAUUCUGAGGUUAUUGGGGUUCACGUCGAUCUGGGCUAUAUCAGAUCGGUGUUUGUUUUGAAGAAAGGAAUGAAGGGAUUUAAGGGAAUUCUUAAUUUCUAAUAAAUCAGAAUUGUCUUUUGGAUUUGUAGUUUUUUCUAUUUCUUCAUCCAUUUUUUCAUAGGACCUUCCCGUUGUCAUAUUCUUGAUAAGGCGUCUAGCUUCUUCGGGAUUCCUAGUGAUGAAAUUUCCAUCACUCGCUGUAUCGAGUGUGGUUUUAUAGCUCAAAUUAACACCUCCAUAAAAGAUGUUAAGAAGUUGUGGUUCUGAAUAACCAUGAUGGGGACAUUCAAGUUCAUAGCCUCUGAAUCUUCCCCAGGCGUUUUUAAACGAUUCGCGUGGACCUUGGCGAAAUGUAAAAAUUUGCUUUCUUACUUUCCAGUAGCGUUCAUCAGUGAAAAAUUCUCUAAGGAAGGCACUUCUAAUCUCUUCCCAACAAGUGAGUAAUCCUGCUGCUAAACAGUUUAACCACCUGAGGGCUUCUCCUUCUAGGGAGAAUGAGAAUAAUUUGCAACGAUCAUAUUCAUCUGGUACUAAUUCUUCCAAAGUUUCAAUAUGAUCUUGUGGGUGCUCUGGGAGGGAUCCACGGAAUGGGUUUUGACGAAUCAUACAGUAGUAAUCUGCGUUAAAACUUAGAUUUCUUGGUAUCGUCUCCUGGUAUUUUGAUAGCGGACCUAUUGGAAUAGGUCUUACCAGGAUCAAGGUAGUCUUGUAUGGAAAAUUUUAUAUCUUCACCUUUAGUUAAGGUGGAAUUUUCCUUAACAGGGAUUUCAGUCCCUUGUUUAGUUUGGCUAGCUUCAUUGCUCGUUUGACCAUUUUUUUCAGUUUGAACUACUUUCUCAUUAGCGGGCUUGGUAAGAGAAAACUUACCUGCUUCCGGCUGGGCGGUAUCGAUCAAUGUCGGCAGCUCCGUAUCGUUCAUUUUUUCUGACUCAACGUCGCUUGAUGGAAACGUGUCUCCGUCGAUCGAUGGUUGGUCGCACUCUGUGUUCUCCAUUCUUUGUGUCUGCGUAACAGAUUAAGAAAGAAAACUUUAGCAAGUUUUUCGUAACAAGUCUAUACUAAAUUCUCAAUUAAAUCUAAUGGUAAUAAGAAAGAGUCCCCGGCAACGGCGCCAAAUUUGAUAUCACUCAAAUUACCCUAAAGAGUGUUACUCUCAUCAACAGAGGUUCAGAUGUAGUACUUAGGGAUCAAAUCAACAUAGACUCUAGGAUUACUCAACAGACUUAAAUAAUUAGAAAUGAAGAUAGCCUAAAAGGUUUUAAUAGUUUUAAAAGUAGUAAAUGAUAAAUCGAAAACAAAAGUGAAACGAUAGAUUGAAUUGAAGUGGUUUCAAGAAUGGGAAAGCAGCUAGAUUCAGGUAAAUCUCAGGUAUGAAAUACAUGCACUUAGUUUAGACUAAAGGGUUUGAUGGUUUUUGAACUAAACAAUGGUUUAACCGGAUAGGUUAUUUUCGUUAGAUCUCGGAUCUCAACUGUCGUAUUCUAGCGAGCUUUUGCGAACAGGUUUAACUUGUUCUCUAACCUUCUCAGACCAACUGUCGUUGCGCCUGAGUUAGUUAGAUCACGCAAGUGGGUUCAGGUAUUGAGGGGAAACAGUUAGUUGGACUCAAUUAAUCCUAAGAUCUAAAAUGAAGAUGAUCAAUCUCAAUUUUAGCAUUAAGUUCACAAGCAAAUGAAAGAACAAUCAAAACACCUUUUUAAUAGUCAUAUUAGCAGUAUAUAAUUUCAACCAUGGUGAGAAACCUAAAUCUAACAAUUGGUUUACUCAAACAUAUUCAUGAGAGAAAAAGUCAUGAUGGCAUGAAAUAAACUCAAAUGAAACAUAGAACACAAAUAGAUAGAGUAAUAGAAAUAUAGGAGUUCAAGAUUUUCUCUGUUUUUGCAGUCCCAGAUCUAUCUCUCAAAUCCUAAACUCUUCUAAUGGUAGCCAAAAUGCUACUUUUCCAAACUAGGUCUUUUGCAAGUGUCUCCCUAAAAUGAUACAAAACCCUAGUACAUAUAGCCUAACAGGCGGCUAGGGACUUAAGUUGCAAAUAAUAUAUCUUCUGGGAAAUGAAAUCUUCUAAUUUGCGAUCUCAUUCGUAUGACUGGGCAUCGAUCGAUGCACAUGUAUGUUUGUCGAUCGAUGGUAAGUGAUUAUGAUCGACCGAUGUUGCUCUUCAAGCGUCGAUCGAUUUUUCUUGCGUAAAAGCAUUCCAAAAUGUCCCAAAAGUAUCAUUUCCUUCCAUCAGGUGAAUAAACCUGUAAUUUCUUUGAAAAGACUCUAAAAUAUGAUUAAUACAUCUUAAAACUUUUAUAUACCAUGUAUAAAAACGGGUGAAAAUCAUAGUAUAUCAGAUAGACAGAUAGAAAGUAGAAACAAACCUGUUUGGAAACAGUAGUGAACUCGUAAGCAAAGCUUACUCGUAAUUAAUUCUUUGAGAAAGUAAGUUGAAUAUGAAGCACUGCCACUUUCAUUGAAGCCUUUAAAAAUGGUGAAAUCCUCCCACUGACAAACCAGUCACUGUGUUGUAAGAAAUAGAAGAAGAACUAUAAAGUACCAAGAACUAUGAAGAACUAUGAACUAUGAACACUCGUAGUGGUCUCACCCAGACGUUUCCAUUUUGCUGCUUCUCAUUAUUGAGAGGUAGGAAAAGUCAAUGUCCCGUAAGAGUGAGCGGCGGGGCAUAGAUAUCUAAAUUGUCGGUCUCUGCUUGAGAAGACGACGAAUCAGUGAAAUAUAGAAGCACCGCUGCUUGGGUAGGGCGAAGCUCAAUCAACGGCGCGAAACCACCGGGAUGAAUAGAAGAUUAAGCCGAAACUCUUCGCCACCAUCGAGAUGAAGUGAUUCAAGCCCUGUUAUUUCCUGGAAGGCCCAACGCAGCCGGAUCUAGAUCCAUCCAUCUACGGUAACCAUUCCAAGUUCCAUCCAACGCCGCAGGAUGACCCUAGAAAUGUCAACCCAAGGUAUUUGAUGGUUGAUCUUUACAGUUUAGGAAUUUUGUUAGUGGAGCUCAGCACUGGAGCAAAGUUCAAUCUGUUUUAACUUUUAGCGCUCUAAAGAAAGUAAGACAUUGGGGUGAUUGGUUGGGCUGUAGGAGGAAACUUUAGCUUUAAUUUUCAUCUACAACCUUAAAUAUUACCAAUCAUGCUUUAUAUUGAUUUUUAAAGCUACAGCCAAAAAAAUAAAGCUACAGCCAAAAAACACAAAAAAUAGUUGUAAAAUUUUUAUUUUCUAAAGCCCCAUCUUUUUAUCUAUAGAAAACUUUAAAGCUACAUUUCUUUAAAGCUAAAUAAAAAAAUCCUACAGACUAAAUUUUAAAGUAAAUUUUCUAAAGCUACAGCCCAAUCAAUCACCCCCAUUAACAACUUAUUUUAUGUAUUUUACCAAAAAAAAUUUACUUUCUGUUAAUGUUUUUAAAACCGGACCGGAUACCGGCUCGGUAAAGCUACUGGUUAUGUGGUCGGACCGGUUCAACCGGUCGAACCGGGUUUUCUAUUUAAAAAUAAAUAAAUGUAAAUAAUCAUAUAUUUACACUAUAUAGACCUAAAAUGUAGUUCUACAUAUAAUAUGUUCUAUGUUCUCUUUUAUUAAUUAGAUAAUAAACAAUAACCAUAAGUUUAGUUAUAUAUACAAGUGAAUACUAUAUCAACCAAAAUUGAUUAAAAAAAUGAAUAACCAUUUAAAUUACAUAUUUACUUAUUUUUACAACUAAAAGUCUUAAAUUUUAUGAAUAUAGAAAAAUGAGAAUAAAAUAUGAGAGUCAAAAAGAGAUUUUUUUAAAAAACAUCUUUAAAAAAAAAAUCAAUUAGAAAACUAAUUAAAUAGUAAAAGUUAAACAUUAAUUAUGAAAUAUUAUAUUUUAAUAAUAAUUAAAAAUACAUUAAUUAUAUGUUGAUUUCUAUUGAACCGGUUUCAAAGUUUAACCGGAUCACCGGUUUUACCGGUUUUUAGCCGGUUUCACCGGUUUUUCUCAAAUCCGAAUUUUACACCGAACCGGACUCGGCUUCUUUAACGAGUCACGGUCAGACCGGUUCGACCGGCCGGUCCCGUCCGAUUUUCAAAACCUUUUUCUGUCUCUGUAUUUUACUAUCGGUGCGGGAGGUAUAUAUUUUUUUUUCUUAGUUGUUUUUUUUAGUUUUAGUCGACUAAAUAGAUCUUUUUUGUAACUUAAAACUAAAUAGAACUUCUGUCACCAAUUCGAGAGUAUAUGUAUUUUACUUAGUUAUGUCAAUUUAUUAUUUUAUACAUGUUUUUAAAUAAGUUCAUAAGUUUAGUAAACAAAAUAAUUUUUUACAAUAACUGAAUAGACUUUUAUGGAGGCGAUGCUUUUGGCGAUUUAGGGUUUCAUGAUUUCAAGAAGAUGGGAUCCGGGAAUUAGAGAUGGGGAUUGGGUUUUUCCGAUCUUUCAUGAUCAAUUCACGGAUUGUGGUUUUCAAGGUCUGCGUUUGGAUAGUUUGGGGACCGUUAUGGGAAUAGCGAAGGAGUUCUGUGAGAUCUUAUGGAUACUGCAGAUUUGGGGACAAAGGCGAGGGAUUUCAGAGGCUAUCAAGGUGGAUUGCAAUAUCUCUACAGGUUGUAAUCUAGAUUAUGAUUAUUUAAUUUUCCACUUUCAUCUAGUAGCGAUUGAUUUGCUUUACCUUAUGGAGGAUUGGGGGUCGUCGUAUCUUUCGGGAUUGAGAUCAGAGACUAUCAAAUUAAGGAGAUACGGGUUAAUUGUGGGAUAUUUGGUAUGGGAAUUUUUGGAAAACUGGGGUCAAUAUAAGAAAAAGUUUAUUGAGUCUCUUUGGCACAUCAUUGCUUUUUCAUUUUGCCAUUAUAUGCUUCAAUCGUGCUUCUUCUUUGUGAUACUCAUGACGCAGAGUCAGAUGUUGAAUCACGGUGAGGAGCUGAGGAACGGUGCAGGCAUGCGUAAGAGAUUGAAGAUUUCAGUGGCGCACUUCGACAAUUCUGCGCUGAUCAAAACCUAUUCCAAGACAUUGAUCGGGAGAUGUAUGAAUCCAGUGGAGCAGGAGAUGAAUGCGCUUUUCACAAAUCUCCCAAAGAUUUGGAAACAGGAAGAGAGGGUAACGGGUACUGAUCUGGGCUUUGGUAAAUUUCAGUUCGACUUCACGACGAAGGAGGAACUUGAAGCGGUGUUGAAGCAACAGCCUUACCAUUUUGACUACUGGAUGCUGGCUUUGGCAAGGUGGCAACCAAAACAAUCCAAGC